UACGAAGGGGGCUAGCGUUGCUCGGAAUUACUGGGCGUAAAGGGAGCGUAGGCGGAUAGUUUAGUCAGAGGUGAAAGCCCAGGGCUCAACCUUGGAAUUGCCUUUGAUACUGGCUAUCUUGAGUAUGGGAGAGGUUAGCGGAACUCCGAGUGUAGAGGUGAAAUUCGUAGAUAUUCGGAAGAACACCAGUGGCGAAGGCGGCUAACUGGCCCAUUACUGACGCUGAGGCUCGAAAGCGUGGGGAGCAAAC
rnacentral:rRNA from 1 species